CGCAAGCCUGACGGAGCAAGACCGCGUGCGGGAUGACGGCCUAAUGGUUGUAAACCGCUUUUCUCUGGGAAGAUGAUGACGGUACCAGAGGAAUCAGCCUCGGCUAACUCCGUGCCAGCAGCCGCGGUAAUACGGAGGAGGCAAGUGUUAUCCGGAAUUAUUGGGCGUAAAGCGUCCGUAGGUGGUUAUUCAAGUCUGCUGUCAAAGCGUGGGGCUUAACUCCAUAGAGGCAGUGGAAACUGGAUGACUUGAGUGCGGUAGGGGUCGAGGGAAUUCCCAGCGUAGCGGUGAAAUGCGUAGAUAUUGGGAAGAACACCAGUGGCGAAAGCGCUCGACUGGGCCUGCACUGACACUGAGGGACGAAAGCUAGGGGAGCG
rnacentral:rRNA from 1 species